ACCUUCUGUGGUGUAGUUGGUAGCGCCUUGGAUUGGUAAUCAUAAGUCCUAGGUUAAAGUCCUGGUCGGGGUA